CUUGGUCACAGUGUGUGGAAGUGGACUUCCCAACCCACCAUGAAGUUUGGGAUAAAUGCUGAAGACUUUCUUCUCUCUUCAAAUAUCCUUCUGUCUGGCAACAACUAUGCACAAGUAGCACUGCUGUUCAAAUUCAUGAACAUGAAAAUGGUGAACAGGACAUUAUUCUUCAGGAUACAGGACCACUACUGCAUGGAUGCAAUUCAAAAGUUGUGGGAUAAGAAGAGAGAAGAAACCAUUCACCAGCUUCAAUCAGAGCAAUCAGCAUUGUUGUCCUGUAUAAGCCUGCAGUUUUAACAUAAUUUUCCUAAUGAUUUCAAGGUGGUGGUCGGAUGGAAAGUCCCGGAUUUUGUGCUCAAUAUUGUACUUAUUCAGCCAUGGAGAAUGAGACAAAGAAGAUCAUCUACAUAACAAACAUCAACAAGGAGACUGCACAAAAUUAAGUUAUCAUGGAAAAGGAAGGCUUCCUCAGAACAUUUCAUACCCUGCAACGCGAGGUCAAGCUGACGGAAAUCUGCACUGACGCCCAUACCCAGAUUUCAGCCCUUUUCAAUCCAGACAAGGGAAAAUUGAAAAAUACAGGAGUACAUCAUACCCUUGAUGUGUGGCAUGGUGCCAAAAACCUUUCUAAAUGAAUACUUGCUAAAAGAAAUGUAAAUGCAAGUCAGCAGAAGGGGUUCUCAAUUCUAUUGCACUGGAGUAAAAACAUCUGCAAUCACUUCUGGUACUGCUGCAGGAUGGCUGACAACUAUGACCAAUUCUUUACGUGGAUUGGACUACUCCAUGUUACUGAUGAGCAUUCAUGGGCACUUGGUAGCUGCCAUCAUGGUCCCCUUACUGAGAUCAGGGAUGAGGACUGGAUUGAGUCUAACUCUACAGCCCAUCAGAAGCUUACUGAAUUAAUUCUGGAUGCACAAUGGCUCAAGGACAUCCCAAAGUAUCUGCAUUUCAGAUCAACUGUGGAACUUGUCAUUCCACAACCAUAUAUUGAUGUACGCCAGGAAACACUUCAGCUUUACGCUCCCUGUGUACAAUGCACGCAUCUUGCUUGCAGAACUAGACUACUGCCACCACAUCAACAGAUCCCCCCAAAAAAUGGCAGACGGCAAAAUUCAGUAAGAUGGUCCAAGUAAUUAGAUGUAUUGCAAUGUGUUGUCUAGUAUUCUUGAAUAACUUAAAUUAUUUUUUCAAUAAUAUAAUUUAAUUCAGUAGCCAGUUCAUGAUUAAAAAAAAUCCAUCAUA